rnacentral:rRNA from 1 species
UACGUAGGGUGCUAGCGUUGUCCGGAAUCAUUGGGCGUAAAGAGCGUGUAGGCGGCUCGGUAAGUCCGCUGUAAAAGUCAAAGGCUCAACCUUUGAAUGUCAGUGGAUACUGCCGGGCUAGAGUCCGGAAGAGGCGAGUGGAACUCCUGGUGUAGCGGUGGAAUGCGCAGAUAUCAGGAAGAACACCAACGGCGAAGGCAGCUCGCUGGGAGGGUACUGACGCUGAGACGCGAAAGCGUGGGGAGCGAACAGG